rnacentral:rRNA from 1 species
UACGGGGGGUGCGAGCGUUGUCCGGAAUCACUAGGCGUAAAGGGCGCGUAGGUGGUUUGAUAAGGGUGUGGUGAAAGUCCGGGGCUCAACCCCGGAUCUGCCGUGCCGACUGUCAAACUCGAGGGCUGUAGAGGCAGACGGAAUUCCGGGUGUAGCGGUGGAAUGCGUAGAGAUCCGGAGGAAGACCGGUGGCGAAGGCGGUCUGCUGGGCAGUUUCUGACACUGAGGCGCGACAGCGUGGGGAGCAAACAGG